GGGGAAUAUUGGACAAUGGGCGCAAGCCUGAUCCAGCCAUGCCGCGUGGGUGAAGAAGGCCUUCGGGUUGUAAAGCCCUUUUGUUGGGAAAGAAAAGCAGCCGGCCAAUACCCGGUUGUUCUGACGGUACCCAAAGAAUAAGCACCGGCUAACUUCGUGCCAGCAGCCGCGGUAAUACGAAGGGUGCAAGCGUUACUCGGAAUUACUGGGCGUAAAGCGUGCGUAGGUGGUGGUUUAAGUCCGUUGUGAAAGCCCUGGGCUCAACCUGGGAACUGCAGUGGAUACUGGAUCACUAGAGUGUGGCAGAGGGUAGUGGAAUUCCCGGUGUAGCAGUGAAAUGCGUAGAGAUCGGGAGGAACAUCAGUGGCGAAGGCGACUGCCUGGGCCAACACUGACACUGAGGCACGAAAGCGUGGGGAGCAAACA
rnacentral:rRNA from 1 species